CCUACGGGGGGCAGCAGUGAGGAAUAUUGGUCAAUGGACGCAAGUCUGAACCAGCCAUGCCGCGUGCAGGAAGACGGCUCUAUGAGUUGUAAACUGCUUUUGUACGAGGGUAAAUCCCGAUAAGUGUAUCGGGUUGAAAGUAUCGUAAGAAUAAGGAUCGGCUAACUCCGUGCCAGCAGCCGCGGGAAUACGGAGGAUUCAAGCGUUAUCCGGACUUAUUGGGUUGAGAGGGUGCGUAGGCGGUUCGAUAAGUUAGAGGUGAAAUCCCGGGGCUCAACUCCGGCACUGCAUCUGAUACUGUCGAGCUAGAGUUUAGGUGCGGUAGGCGGAAUGUAAUGUGUAGCGGUGAAAUGCAUAGAGAUCAUACAGAACACCGAUGGCGAAGGCAGCUUACCAAACUACGACUGACGUUGAGGCACGAAAGCGUGGGGAGCAAACAGGAUUAGAUACCCCUGUAGUC
rnacentral:rRNA from 1 species